UUCUCUGUGCCCCCUCCCGCGGCGUUCGCGAACUUCUCCUCUGGUCGUGCGAUUACCGCAGCGCGACGCACCGACCCGCCUGCCUGUCUCUCUCUCCGCGUGGCGCAGUUUUAAAGCCCGGGGACCGUCGGCCGUUUAAAGAGCGGCACCGCCGGCUGCCGGUCAUUCCCUUUUGUUUUUUCGCCUUCCUUUCCUCUCCAGUCGCAUUUUUCUUUGUUUGCCCUCUUCCACACCGUAAGCGCUCGUCAGCGAAAUGGUAGAGGGCGAGAAAGCGCGCGCGGGGCGAGGCAAGUGUCAGCGAGUAAUGACGACAGCGGAAACAGAAAAGCCAGCUAGCGGCGGUGGCUCCAUAUGGCAGCCAGUAGGUAGGCGUGCACGCUAUCGCACGGUGCAGUGAGUGAGUGAGUGCUGUGUGGUGUGGUGAGCAGUGUCGUGCCGUGCUGUGCGCCGCUCCCCGACCGUCACACGACUCGUCGUUCGCCGAUUUAAAGGAACGCCGUCGAGGAAAGGGCGAGGGGACACGUGUGUGGGAAUGGUGGCCACUGCUUGUGCAUCUUGACGCGAGUGCGUGUGACGCGCCCCCGGCCCUGCGGAACUGGUUGACCACAGGAGCCAUAAAACUUCGUCGGACGCGGUGACGCCGCCACCUUCUGUGGUAUGAGAAAGCCGUCGCUGCCAACACAGCUCUCCAUGUAAGUAGCUAACUUGAGUAGCUUCUUAACGUUCUAGGAGACAGUACGACCUUAGAAACCACGUGCUUCACAUUUUAUAAGAGUCCAGUCUUUUGAGAAGGAAACAUAGGGACUUUCAGACUGCAGAGCUGACACUUGAGACGCUAAGAACAAAAAAAAAAAAAAAAAAAAAAAAA